UAGGGAAUCUUCGGCAAUGGACGAAAGUCUGACCGAGCAACGCCGCGUGAGUGAAGAAGGUUUUCGGAUCGUAAAACUCUGUUGUUAGAGAAGAACAAGGACGUUAGUAACUGAACGUCCCCUGACGGUAUCUAACCAGAAAGCCACGGCUAACUACGUGCCAGCAGCCGCGGUAAUACGUAGGUGGCAAGCGUUGUCCGGAUUUAUUGGGCGUAAAGCGAGCGCAGGCGGUUUCUUAAGUCUGAUGUGAAAGCCCCCGGCUCAACCGGGGAGGGUCAUUGGAAACUGGGAGACUUGAGUGCAGAAGGGGAGAGUGGAAUUCCAUGUGUAGCGGUGAAAUGCGUAGAUAUAUGGAGGAACACCAGUGGCGAAGGCGGCUCUCUGGUCUGUAACUGACGCUGAGGCACGAAAGCGUGGGGAGCAAACAGA
rnacentral:rRNA from 1 species